rnacentral:rRNA from 1 species
UACGUAGGGUGCAAGCGUUGUCCGGAAUUAUUGGGCGUAAAGAGCUCGUAGGCGGUUUGUCGCGUCUGCUGUGAAAACUCGGGGCUUAACCCCGGGCCUGCAGUGGGUACGGGCAGACUAGAGUGCGAUAGGGGAGACUGGAAUUCCUGGUGUAGCGGUGAAAUGCGCAGAUAUCAGGAGGAACACCGGUGGCGAAGGCGGGUCUCUGGGCCGUAACUGACGCUGAGGAGCGAAAGCGUGGGGAGCGAACAGG